rnacentral:rRNA from 1 species
UACGUAGGGUGCGAGCGUUGUCCGGAAUUAUUGGGCGUAAAGAGCUCGUAGGCGGUUUGUCGCGUCUGCUGUGAAAACUCGAGGCUCAACCUCGGGCUUGCAGUGGGUACGGGCAGACUAGAGUGCGGUAGGGGUGACUGGAAUUCCUGGUGUAGCGGUGGAAUGCGCAGAUAUCAGGAAGAACACCCGUGGCUAAGGCGGCUCUCUAGUACGGUACUGACGCUGAGACGCGAAAGCGUGGGGAGCGAACAGG